rnacentral:tRNA from 1 species
GCAUUAAUGGGGUAGUGGUAACCUGGGUCGUUGCCAUCGACCCACCGGGGGUUGGAUUCCCCCUUAACGCA